GAUGAACGCUAGCGGAAGGCAUAAUACAUGCAAGUCGAACGGAUGUAGCAAUACAUUAGUGGCGCACGGGUGCGUAACGCGUAUGCAACCUACCUUCAUCAGGGGGACAACUACUCGAAAGGGUGGCUAACACCGCAUAAUACUACUGAAUGGCAUCAUUUGGUAUUUAAAUCUGAGGAGGAUGAAGAUGGGCAUGCGUCUGAUUAGCUAGUUGGUGUGGUAACGGCGCACCAAGGCGACGAUCAGUAGGGGAACUGAGAGGUUGGUCCCCCACACUGGCACUUAGAUACGGGCCAGACUCCUACGGGAGGCAGCAGUAGGGAAUAUUGGUCAAUGGUGGGAACACUGAACCAGCCAUUCCGCGUGCAGGAAGAAGGGUCUCUGACUUGUAAACUGUUUUAGCAAGGGAAGAAAAAGCUCAUGCGUGAGAAAUUGACGGUACCUUGAGAAUAAGCACCGGCUAACUACGUGCCAGCAGCCGCCGUAACAC
rnacentral:rRNA from 1 species